rnacentral:rRNA from 1 species
UGCUAAGGCUGAUGGCGACCGGCGCACGGGUGAGUAACACGUAUCCAACCUGCCGUCUACUCUUGGCCAGCCUUCUGAAAGGAAGAUUAAUCCAGGAUGGGAUCAUGAGUUCACAUGUCCGCAUGAUUAAAGGUAUUUUCCGGUAGACGAUGGGGAUGCGUUCCAUUAGAUAGUAGGCGGGGUAACGGCCCACCUAGUCAACGAUGGAUAGGGGUUCUGAGAGGAAGGUCCCCCACAUUGGAACUGAGACACGGUCCAAACUCCUACGGGAGGCAGCAGUGAGGAAUAUUGGUCAAUGGGCGAUGGCCUGAACCAGCCAAGUAGCGUGAAGGAUGACUGCCCUAUGGGUUGUAAACUUCUUUUAUAAAGGAAUAAAGUCGGGUAUGCAUACCCGUUUGCAUGUACUUUAUGAAUAAGGAUCGGCUAACUCCGUGCCAGCAGCCGCGGUAAUACGGAGGAUCCGAGCGUUAUCCGGAUUUAUUGGGUUUAAAGGGAGCGUAGAUGGAUGUUUAAGUCAGUUGUGAAAGUUUGCGGCUCAACCGUAAAAUUGCAGUUGAUACUGGAUGUCUUGAGUGCAGUUGAGGCAGGCGGAAUUCGUGGUGUAGCGGUGAAAUGCUUAGAUAUCACGAAGAACUCCGAUUGCGAAGGCAGCCUGCUAA